GAUGAACGCUGGCGGCGUGCCUAAUACAUGCAAGUCGAGCGAACGGACGAGAAGCUUGCUUCUCUGAUGUUAGCGGCGGACGGGUGAGUAACACGUGGAUAACCUACCUAUAAGACUGGGAUAACUUCGGGAAACCGUAGCUAAUACCGGAUAAUAUUUUGAACCGCAUGGUUCAAAAGUGAAAGACGGUCUUGCUGUCACUUAUAGAUGGAUCCGCGCUGCAUUAGCUAGUUGGUAAGGUAACGGCUUACCAAGGCAACGAUGCAUAGCCGACCUGAGAGGGUGAUCGGCCACACUGGAACUUGGACACGGUCCAGGAUCCUACGGGAGGCAGCAAUAGGGAAUCUUCCGGAAUGGGCGGAAGCCUUGCGGGGCAACGCCGCGUUGGUGAUGAAGGUCUUCGGAUCGUAAAACUCUUUUAAUAAGGAAAAACAUAUGUGUAAGUAACUGUGCACAUCUUGACGGUACCUAAUCAGAAAACCACGGCUAACUUCGUG
rnacentral:rRNA from 1 species